rnacentral:tRNA from 1 species
UGGAGUAUAGCCAAACCUGGUAAGGCAUUCGUUUUUGGCGCGACUAUUUAAAGGUUCAAAUCCUUUUGCUCCAA